GGGAGGUAGUGACAAUAAAUCACAAUGCGGGACUUUUUAGUUUUGCAAUUGGAUUGAGAACGAUGUACAAGAGUUAUCGAUAAACAAUUGGAGGGCAAGUCUGGUGCCAGCAGCCGCGGUAAUUCCAGCUCCAAUAGCGUAUAUUAACGUUGUUGCAGUUAAAAAGCUCGUAGUUGAAGUGAGGGUGUUUUCCUUAUGAAUUCAAUUUGAAGGAUUAUGGAGGCACCCCCCUCCAGUUUCUGUGCAUGAGUAUUAAGUUACUUGUGUAUAGUGCUGGUCAUUUACUGUGAGAAAAUUAGAGUGUUCAAAGCAGGCAUUUGCUUGAAUAUAUUAGCAUGGAAUAAUGAUAAAAGGCUUGUAUGGUCGAUUUAAUUGGUUUGUUCAUAUAAGCAAGAUUAAUAGGGACAGUUGGGGGUAUUCAUAUUCAAUAGUUAGAGGUGAAAUUCUCGGAUUUAUGGAAGAUGAACAAGUGCGAAAGCA
rnacentral:rRNA from 1 species